CCUACGGGAGGCAGCAGUGAGGAAUAUUGGUCAAUGGACGAAAGUCUGAACCAGCCAAGUAGCGUGAGGGAAGACUGCCCUAUGGGUUGUAAACCUCUGUUAUCAAGGAAUAAAACGAGGCACGUGUGCCUGUUUGCAUGUACUUUAUGAAUAAGGAUCGGCUAACUCCGUGCCAGCAGCCGCGGUAAUACGGAGGGUCCGAGCGUUAUCCGGAUUUAUUGGGUUUAAAGGGAGCGUAGAUGGGUUGUUAAGUCAGUUGUGAAAGUUUGCGGCUAAACCGUAAAAUUGCACUGAAUACUGGAGUUCUUGAGUACAGUUGAGGCAAGCGGAAUUCGUGGUGUAGCGGUGAAAUGCUUAGAUAUCACGAAGAACCCCGAUUGCGAAGGCAGCUUACUAAACUGUGACUGACGUUGAUGCUCGAAAGUGUGGGUAUCAAACAGGAUUAGAUACCCUAGUAGUC
rnacentral:rRNA from 1 species